CCCAUUCUCAGCUGCCCCUACCAACCUAGCCCUCUCUUCUCUUUUUCCUCGCAAACACCAUGACUCUCUUUUUCCUCUUUCUCUUCUUCUACGCAUCACUAUCAACCCAUCUUCACGCUUCUUCUUCUUCUUCGUAGCACGCCAACACCAUCACCACCGUCAAGUCAUCACUCAUGCAUCAUCUUCUGCAUCUUCGAUCAUCACACUCAAAUCCCAAAUGGGUAAAGUCAAGAUGCUAUUUGAAUUUAAGAUCUAGGCAGGUGGUCUAUUCCAAGUCCAACAAACAAUUAUGAUAGUGGCAUCAUUAGUGCCAGCAUUGCAAUCAGCGUUGUGGCAUGACUUGGUCAUCUACCAAAUGGAGGCGUUGUGGUUUACAUUAACAAUAAUAGUAUAGAAUAAAAAUAUUGUUACUUCAUUAUUAUAAGGAAAAUAUGUUUGACUAAUUUAUUAAACAUUUUCUUAGCACA